AUCUGAGACCCCUUUUAGACUAAAAGGUUGUUAGGGCAGUUGUGUUAGCUGCGUAAUCUGUUUAGCUUACUGCUCCUAAUUGGUCCUUUGCUUUCUCUUG
rnacentral:rRNA from 1 species